rnacentral:rRNA from 1 species
GACGAACGCUGGCGGCGUGCUUAACACAUGCAAGUCGAACGGAAAGGCCCUGCUUUUGUGGGGUGCUCGAGUGGCGAACGGGUGAGUAACACGUGAGUAACCUGCCCUUGACUUUGGGAUAACUUCAGGAAACUGGGGCUAAUACCGGAUAGGAGCUCCUGCUGCAUGGUGGGGGUUGGAAAGUUUCGGCGGUUGGGGAUGGGCUCGCGGCUUAUCAGCUUGUUUGUGGUGUAGUGGCUUACGAAGGAUUUGACGGGUAGACGGCAUGAGAGGGUGACCGGCAACAAUGGGACGGAGAUAAGGACCAGACGGCUACGGGAGGCAGCAGUGGGGAAUAUUGCAAAAUGGGAGGAAGCAGGAUGAAGGAACGAAGCGGGCGGGAUGAAGGCCUUCGGGUUGUAAACAGCUUUAGAAUGUGAAGAAGAGAGAGUGACGGUAAUGGGUAAAGAAGCACCGGCUAACUACGUG